rnacentral:rRNA from 2 species
CAAGACCGGUGCCAGCCGCCGCGGUAACACCGGCAGCCCUAGUGGUGACCGCUUUUAUUGGGCCUAAAGCGUUCGUAGCCGGGCCGGUAAGUCCUUGGGUAAAUCCUGCGUCUCAAGCGCGGGAAUUCUAAGGAAACUACCGGCCUUGAGGCCGGGAUAGGCGAGAGGUACUCCCGGGGUAGGGGUAAAAUCCUAUAAUCCUGGGGGGACCACCGAUGGCGAAGGCAUCUCGCUGGAACGGGCCUGACGGUGAGGGACGAA